rnacentral:rRNA from 1 species
UACGGAGGAUGCAAGCGUUAUCCGGAUUCAUUGGGUUUAAAGGGUGCGUAGGCGGGCUAUUAAGUCAGUGGUGAAAUCCUGCAGCUUAACUGCAGAACUGCCGUUGAUACUGAUAGUCUUGAGUUUGGUUAAGGUAGGCGGAAUGUGUAAUGUAGCGGUGAAAUGCUUAGAUAUUACACAGAACACCAAUUGCGUAGGCAGCUUACUGAGCCGACACUGACGCUGAGGCACGAAAGCGUGGGGAUCAAACAGGAUUA